rnacentral:lncRNA from 1 species
UAAAAACUACAUAAAAUCGUAUAGCCCUGUCGAGCCCCUCGCGUAUUUUUUAGAGAUAUAAAAUUUGGAAUUUAUUGAUGUUAAAACUUAAAUUAUAUUACUCUGUUGUAUUAUGAAGUUAAAAUUUCUAAGUGAAAAUUAAUGUAAUUAGAUGAGAUUGAACCAUUUUAUCAUUAAAAUUAGAAUUCUUAAGUUGCAAUCAAUCUAAUUGGAUAAGAUUGAAUCGAUAAUACAUAUAAGUUAGAAUUACUAAAUUGUAGUUAAUCUAAUGAUAUACUUUGGUUUAGUUUAGGAGUUAAGAACGUACAUUUAAACAUGUCAACAUAAUAAAUCAGAUGAGUAGAGAAAACUGUGAGAUAUUAUAACAACAAAACUUAAUGUUAUAUUUUAAUAAUGUCGUCUUUAUUUUCAUUCAAGACAUCUUUUAAAAUUCUAUUCAGAGAUAAACUCAUAAACUAAACAAAGUUAAGACCAUUAAGAUCGAAUGAAACUAUAUAAAAUCCUUUUUAAACAUUGUAUUAUCAUGCAUAAAUCCUUUAGAAGUUUAGAACCAAUUUUGCAGCUAUGUCUGUAUUUCAGCCCACAAAUCUCCCUUAGAUGUAAAACCAAAUUAAUCUGUAAAAAAUACAAAAAAANNNNNNNNNNNNNNNNNNNNNUUAAGGCCAACCAGGUCAUACUAAAUUAAAUGGUCAAGGAAAUAUCAAAAGGUAAUAAAUAUGAAGAAUUUCUCAUUAAGAAUUGAUAUCUAUCAUGCUAUUAUUUAUUUACAUCUAGAGCACUCCCAAGGCUUAUGAUGCAAUGAAUUAAUUAGAAAAUAGAAAAUACACUAUACUAAUAUGCAAUUUGUUGGGAGAGAUAAGAACUACGUUGAGGAAGGGUGAGUGAUUGAAGUUGGAGCUUAGUAUAAUAUACCAUCUACAACAUGUUCAUUUGAGUCUAACGAAAGGGAUUAGUCUGAGCUUAGUAUUAUGAAGCUACACUGCACCCAUUAACAUUAAUGAGGAAACAUUGAAUAUUAUGACUAUGAGGAAACAUUGAAUCUUAUGACUAACAAUCCAACAGAUUACUUAUAACUAACAUGGUAGAUUAUGGCAGUGAAACACAGGGAAUUCUCUGAAUGCAUUUCCACCCCAUAUUAUGAAUUACCGAUCUAACCUAAUGCAACAUGUAUUACUUCCUACAUUAUCUUUCUAGUGUAUAACAAUAGAAACUUACAAAGGCAAGUAUUGCAUUACCUUCUACAUCAUCUUUCCAGUGUCAAUCCUCGUUAACUAAGCUUGCUAACAGCUUCCCUUCAGAUCUUAUAAACAGAUAAAUAUUCCACACUUUAGCUAUACUUGCAUUAUGUAAUCUUCUUAACCAAUAGAAACUGAAAAUAAGUUCAGAACAUAAUACACUUUUUCAGCCAUACAGUGUGUAGACCAGAUAAUACAACAAAUCAAUUUACAGCACAUACAAUGAAGAAUUAAUUUACCAAGAGAUUUGCAAAGGUUAAGUGGUGGAUGUGAAUGCUUAAAAAGUCCACUCCAAUUGUACUGAUAUAUAGGUGUCAACGUAUGAAUCAUCUUGUUUAACAGAAAAAUAAGAUAUUAAGAAGUGUAACUUGCACUUCUGAAAAUAUAACUCAAGGUAAAAGAAUGAAACCAAUAAACAAAAUAGAGAACAAUCAAUUGAAACAAAUUUAAAUCAAAUUCAAUCGCAGCGAACAAUCCUAUUGUAAUUCAUGNNNNNNNNNNNNNNNNNNNNNUCAAUUUGUAGUACAAAGAUAAGUAAGCAAAAUUCUUAAAUGAUAUGAUUUGAAACAUGGAAAAUUAUCAUUAGCAAAACAAUUAAGCCCUGAAAAUUAUCAUUAGCAAAACAUGAAAAAUAACAUAAAAGAAAUGAAAUGUGAAAUAAAAGCUAGUACUGAUGCAAUUAAAUGUUAUAUAUCAAUGACAUCUCAAAACUAACAUAAGAAUUGGUUUCUACAUCAAUCAACAUUUCAUAUAUAAUAUCAGUACAAAAUACUAAUACUAAAAAUAUAUAUAUAUGCAUAAGUAACUUACCUACUGUGAAAAACAAUACUACAAAGCCAUGAGUUGAAUGAGAGAACAUAGAUCUACCUCCAAAUCCAUCAAUAACUCUUAACANNNNNNNNNNNNNNNNNNNNNNNNNNNNNNNNNNNNNNNNUAGAAAUUAGAAAUUAUAGCACAACCUGCCGAAUAGGGAACUUAGAUUCACAAUAAAGAAAAUAACCUUUCAUAAUAAAAACAAUAGUAAUCAAAAGACAAAAUUCUUCUCAAUUCUCACUUAUGGUUAACUGGACAUGUUUCAUAAAGCUAGUUAGAGAAAAGAUAAUAGUGAGGCAAUUAGAUGAACACCGUAUAGAUGCAUAUUUAGUUCCUUUUCAAUAAAGUGAGCAUACACCUCUAAAUCAUUUUUUUUUUAAGAAAUAAACAAAAAUCAAUAAAUUCAAUAGAUUUCAAUAAAGACUAUAGUCAUAAAGAAAAUAAGUUAAAAUAAAAUACCUCAUAAGCAAGUGUUAUGCUCUUUGUCGUAUAGUUAUAANN